AUUGAACGCUGGCGGCAGGCUUAACACAUGCAAGUCGAGCGAGCGGCGGAGGGGUGAGUAAUGUCUGGGAAACUGCCUGAUGGAGGGGGAUAACUUCUGGAAAGGGUAGCUAAUACCGAAUAAUAUCAGAGGCGCCCAUAUGGGAUUAGCUAGUAGGUGGGGUAAUGGCGCACCUAGGCGACGAUCACUAGCUGGUCUGAGAGGAUGACCAGCCACACUGGGACUGAGACACGGCCCAGACUCCUACGGGAGGCAGCAGUGGGGAAUAUUGCACAAUGGGCGCAAGCCUGAUGCAGCCAUGCCGCGUGUGUGAAGAAGGCCUUCGGGUUGUAAAGCACUUUCAGCGGGGAGGCGUUACUCGCAGAAGAAGCACCGGCUAACUCCGUGCCAGCCGCCGCGGUAAUAC
rnacentral:rRNA from 1 species